rnacentral:tmRNA from 1 species
GGGGCUGCCUUGGUAUUGACGGGAAGGUGUAGUCGUUUCGUAAGCAUGCAGGGGCAUGGUUGGUUACCCCUCAAAAAAUAACGACCGAAAUGUAACUGGCGAAUACCAGUACGCUAUGGCUGCCUAAUUCUAGCGAAUUAGGACGCUUUUGUACCGUGUGAGGGCCACGCUCAGCGUCCCCCUCUUAGCUUCUGACUCCUGAUAGGGGCCACCGUGCAUCAAACUUUUUUCAGGAUAGUCUGGCGGGAUGCUCCGACCGCCGGGCGAAACUUAGGAGAUAAGGUGCAAAUGUGUGGGUCACUGAACCAGUCUUGCGCUCGAAAACCUAAGCAGUGAAUAAGCAUGUAGAAGGCGUUGCGACGCUUUGUCCGGACGCGGGUUCGACUCCCGCCAGCUCCACAA